rnacentral:sRNA from 1 species
GCGGAGGAAAAGAAACCAACAGGGAUUGCCCUAGUAACGGCGAGUGAAGCGGCAACAGCUCAAAUUUGAAAUCUGGCUCUCUUUGAGGGUCCGAGUUGUAAUUUGCAGAGGAUGCUUUGGCAUUGGCGGCGGUCUAAGUUCCUUGGAACAGGACAUCGCAGAGGGUGAGAAUCCCGUACGUGGGCGCCUGCCUUUGCCGUGUAAAGCUCCUUCGACGAGUCGAGUUGUUUGGGAAUGCAGCUCUAAAUGGGAGGUAAAUUUCUUCUAAAGCUAAAUACCGGCCAGAGACCGAUAGCGCACAAGUAGAGUGAUCGAAAGAUGAAAAGUACUUUGGAAAGAGAGUCAAAAAGCACGUGAAAUUGUUGAAAGGGAAGCGCUUGCAGCCAGACUUGCCCGCAGUUGCUCACCUAGGCUUUGGCCUGGGGCACUCUUCUGCGGGCAGGCCAGCAUCAGUUUGGGCGGUUGGAUAAAGGCCUCUGUCACGUAUCUCCCUUCGGGGUGACCUUAUAGGGGAGGCGCAAUGCAACCAGCCCGGACUGAGGUCCGCGCAUCUGCUAGGAUGCUGGCGUAAUGGCUGUAAGCGGCCCGUCUUGAAACACGGACCAAGGAGUCUAACAUCUAUGCGAGUGUUUGGGUGUCAAGCCCGGGCGCGCAAUGAAAGUGAACGGAGGUGGGAACCCUUUGGGUGCACCAUCGACCGAUCCUGAUGUCUUCGGAUGGAUUUGAGUAAGAGCAUAGCUGUUGGGACCCGAAAGAUGGUGAACUAUGCUUGAAUAGGGUGAAGCCAGAGGAAACUCUGGUGGAGGCUCGCAGCGGUUCUGACGUGCAAAUCGAUCGUCAAAUUUGGGCAUAGGGGCGAAAGACUAAUCGAACCAUCUAGUAGCUGGUUCUGC